GAUAUUUAUGCGCAAGCGGCGCGCCGCGGUUUUCGUUGGCGCCUGCGCGAGACGCCAGCCGCGGCCGACGCCUUCGCGACAUCCGCCCGCGAACCGAAAUUAAUAGCCGGCACAUUCCGAACAUUCUUACAGAUUCCUGUUCUCGGUAAUGGACCGCGAUCGAACUCUUUUUGGAUGCGAUGCCGGAUCCGCGCUUUAACUCCAAACGAACGCUGAAAUUUGCAAACCCGUAAUAGUGAUUUUAUUUGAACGUUUUAAUAUCCGACCGUUUGUGAACAUUUCUGAAAUAUCGAAUACCGUUACGAUUUCGAUUAUUGUUUAUGAUCCUCAUUUACUCGAAUCGUGCAGCGAAUGUGGAUGAGUCCAUAUUAUCAGGAAUAUGACGUGUUCAUCGAAAACUGUUUCUAUAUUUGGAGAAUUUACAACAAGGCGUGAAUUUUGUCGGAUAGUUUAUCGGUAGUGGUGUAUCACCGGUUUGUGGUCAACGGAACGGAUUGUUAUGUGGGAUACAAUCGACAAUAGUUAACGGUGUAACACCUCUUCUGUGGGCAAAGAUCAAGAGAACCUAUAUCACCACAACAUAACGAAAAUGCAGAGCUCCGGCCGGAUUCAAGACUAAGCCACGUGGAUUUCUUAUGAUAAAACUUCCGACUUCAAAACUUUCAACUAAAGAAACAAGGAAUCAAGAAACUGCUGUACAAUAUUAACUAGUAUGAAUGAACAAAGAAAUAUUGUAAAAGUUUUGUGAUGUACAGAGCGUUUUUACUUAGAAAA